rnacentral:snoRNA from 1 species
AGGACUAUACUUUCAGGGGUCAUUUCUGUAGUUUGUUACUAGAGAAGUUUCUCUGGUUGUGUAAAGUACCAGAAACCACAAGGAGCAGAUGUAACAUUCUCACCUGAGCAUGAAGCUGGCUCUUGGUGUUGUUUUAUUGCAAUUGCCAUUUGCCUUUGAUAAUCAUUCUUCUCUUCCUUUGAAGGACUAAGGGGGUGAAGAUGUAGUCCGAGUAGU